rnacentral:rRNA from 1 species
UCCCAGACUCCUACGGGAGGCAGCAGUGGGGGAUAUUGGACAAUGGGGGGAACCCUGAUCCAGCGACGCCGCGUGAGUGAAGAAGUAUUUCGGUAUGUAAAGCUCUGUCAGCAGGGAAGAAAGAAAUGACGGUACCUGACCAAGAAGCCACGGCUAACUACGUGCCAGCAGCCGCGGUAAUACGUAGGUGGCAAGCGUUGUCCGGAAUUACUGGGUGUAAAGGGAGCGCAGGCGGGAAGCCAAGUCAGCUGUGAAAACUACGGGCUUAACUUGUAGACUGCAGUUGAAACUGGUUUUCUUGAGUGAAGUAGAGGUUGGCGGAAUUCCGAGUGUAGCGGUGAAAUGCGUAGAUAUUCGGAGGAGCACCGGUGGCGAAGGCGGCCAACUGGGCUUUAACUGACGCUGAGGCUCGAAAGUGUGGGGAGCAAACAGGAUUAGAUACCCUAGUA